rnacentral:rRNA from 1 species
GACGAACGCUGGCGGCGUGCUUAACACAUGCAAGUCGAGCGAUGAAGCACCUUCGGGUGUGAAUUAGCGGCGAACGGGUGAGGAACACGUGAGAAAUCUGCCUUCAACACUGGGAUAACUCCGGGAAACCGGGGCUAAUACCGGAUAUGAAACCUGCGGGCAUCCGCGGGUUUGGAAAGUUUUUCGGUUGAAGAUGAUCUCGCGGCCUAUCAGCUUGUUGGUGAGGUAAUGGCUCACCAAGGCGACGACGGGUAGCCGGCCUGAGAGGGCGACCGGCCACACUGGGACUGAGACACGGCCCAGACUCCUACGGGAGGCAGCAGUGGGGAAUAUUGGGCAAUGGAGGAAACUCUGACCCAGCGACGCCGCGUGCGGGAUGAAGGCCUUCGGUGUAACGACUUUCAGCAGGGAAGAAGCGAUACCGACGAAUAAUCGUGUUAAUGACGGUACCUUGAUAAGAAG